rnacentral:rRNA from 1 species
UACGAAGGGGGCUAGCGUUGUUCGGAAUUACUGGGCGUAAAGGGCGCGUAGGCUGUGCUGUAAGUCAGGCGUGACAUCCCCGGGCUCAACCUGGGAAUUGCGCAUGAUACUGCGGCGCUUGAAGACGGGAGAGGAUGGCGGAAUUCCCAGUGUAGAGGUGAAAUGCGUAGAUAUGGGGAGGAACACCGGUGGCGAAGGCGGCCAUCUGGCCCGAUACUGACGCUGAGGUGCGAAAGCGUGGGGAGCAAACAGG